CUCCUCUGAAGACAAGUGCUCCGUUAUCCGAACAGUUUACAUUUGAAACUUGAGCAGAAGUGGGUUCUGUGAUUUCUACAAUUUAUUAAGUCUUGCUGAUGAAGACCCGGAUGCCAAGUGAUGACUGUUUGUCUUGCCAUCCGAAUGAUUAUAGCCCAAAGUUUUGCCGUUGUGAACAAUUUCAGUGGGAAAUAAUUUAUUUGUGAGAAUCGUCCAAUGGAAUGUGUAAAGCCCAUCCUCAGCUGAUGAAGAUCCGGAAGCCCAGUGAGAACUGCCUGACGUGCCGUCCACAUGGUUAUAACCAAUAAUGUUACCGUUGAGGACAAUUUGAGUGUGAAAGUAUUUUCCACCUGCUGUGAGAAUCGUCCAUUGGAAGAAGUAGAGGCCAUCCUCGGGUGCUGUGAAUUUACCUGUGUUAGCAUUAUAAACAUUUCCAGAGUUUUGUGUUACUCUCCCAAAAACAACAACAGCGUUUGUUCCAAGGUUUUCCUGUGUUUUUGAUAAACGUGCAUGAAAGGCGAUGUUUCCUAA